rnacentral:tRNA from 1 species
CGAAAUAUAGCUUAGUCAAAGCACCUUGCUUACACCAAAGAGACGUCCUAUGCACUGGACUAUUUCGAG